rnacentral:rRNA from 1 species
AAUGAACGCUGGCGGCAGGCCUAACACAUGCAAGUCGAACGGGUCCUUCGGGACUGGUGGCGGACGGGUGAGUAACGCGUGGGAACGUGCCCCUUGGUACGGAAUAGCCCCGGGAAACUGGGAGUAAUACCGUAUGUGGUCGAGAGACGAAAGAUUUAUCGCAAAGGGAUCGGCCCGCGUUGGAUUAGGUAGUUGGUGGGGUAAUGGCCUACCAAGCCGACGAUCCAUAGCUGGUUUGAGAGGAUGAUCAGCCACACUGGGACUGAGACACGGCCCAGACUCCUACGGGAGGCAGCAGUGGGGAAUCUUAGACAAUGGGGGAAACCCUGAUCUAGCCAUGCCGCGUGAUCGAUGAAGGCCUUAGGGUUGUAAAGAUCUUUCAGGGGGGAAGAUAAUGACUGUACCACCAGAAGAAGCCCCGGCUAACUCCGUGCCAGCAGCCGCAGUAA